CAGAAGACACUGGAAUCUAACCAGUAAUUUUGGCCUGACAACCCAAAGUUAUAAUUUUAACUAGACUUCU
rnacentral:tRNA from 1 species